GAUGAACGCUGGCGGCGUGCUUAACACAUGCAAGUCGAACGAACCUUCGGGUUAGUGGCGGACGGGUGAGUAACGCGUGGGAAUCUGCCCUCAGGAGGGGGAUAACAGUUGGAAACGACUGCUAAUACCCCAUAUGCCGUGAGGUGAAAGGAAUUUCGCCUGAGGAUGAGCCCGCGUCUGAUUAGCUAGUUGGUGUGGUAAGAGCGCACCAAGGCAUCGAUCAGUAGCUGGUCUGAGAGGAUGAUCAGCCACACUGGGACUGAGACACGGCCCAGACUCCUACGGGAGGCAGCAGUGGGGAAUUUUCCGCAAUGGGCGAAAGCCUGACGGAGCAACGCCGCGUGAGGGAAGAAGGCCUCUGGGCUGUAAACCUCUUUUCUCAAGGAAGAAGAUCUGACGGUACUUGAGGAAUAAGCCACGGCUAAUUCCGUGCCAGCAGCCGCCGGGUAACAC
rnacentral:rRNA from 1 species